rnacentral:tRNA from 1 species
GACUCUGUAGUGAAGUUCAUAGUGAGUUGCAAGCUCAUUGAUGCACAUGACCGUGUGCCGGGGUCU